ACAAGCAGCGGAGCGUGUGGUUUAAUUCGAUGCAACGCGAAGAACCUUACCUGGGCUUGACAUCCCGGGAAUCCCCUGGAAACAGGGGAGUGCCUUCGGGAGCCCGGUGACAGGUGCUGCAUGGCUGUCGUCAGCUCGUGUCGUGAGAUGUUGGGUUAAGUCCCGCAACGAGCGCAACCCUUGUCUUUAAUUGCCAUCAUUUAGUUGGGCACUUUAAAGAGACUGCCGGUGUUAAGCCGGAGGAAGUGGGGAUGACGUCAAGUCCUCAUGGCCUUUAUGCCCAGGGCUACACACGUGCUACAAUGGGCGGUACAAAGAGAAGCAACCUCGCGAGGGUGAGCAAAUCUCAAAAAGCCGUUCUCAGUUCGGAUUGAAGUCUGCAACUCGACUUCAUGAAGUCGGAAUCGCUAGUAAUCGCAGGUCAGCAUACUGCGGUGAAUACGUUCCCGGGCCUU
rnacentral:rRNA from 1 species